rnacentral:rRNA from 1 species
UAUUGCGCAAUGGGCGGAAGCCUGACGCAGCGACGCCGCGUGGGGGAUGACGGCCUUCGGGUUGUAAACCUCUUUCGGCAGGGACGAAUUCGGACGUGUACCUGCCGAAGAAGCGCCGGCUAACUACGUGCCAGCAGCCGCGGUAAUACGUAGGGCGCGAGCGUUGUCCGGAAUUAUUGGGCGUAAAGAGCUCGUAGGUGGCCUGUCGCGUCCGCCGUGAAAUCCCAUCGGCUUAACCGUGGGUCUGCGGUGGAUACGGGCUGGCUUGAGGUAGGUAGGGGCAAGCGGAAUUCCUGGUGUAGCGGUGAAAUGCGCAGAUAUCAGGAGGAACACCGGUGGCGAAGGCGGCUUGCUGGGCCUUACCUGACGCUGAGGAGCGAAAGCGUGGGGAGCGAACAGG